UUUUAUGGAGAGUUUGAUCCUGGCUCAGGAUGAACGCUGGCGGCGUGCCUAAUACAUGCAAGUCGAGCGAACGGAUGAGAAGCUUGCUUCUCUGAUGUUAGCGGCGGACGGGUGAGUAACACGUGGAUAACCUACCUAUAAGACUGGGAUAACUUCGGGAAACCGGAGCUAAUACCGGAUAAUAUUUUGAACCGCAUGGUUCAAAAGUGAAAGACGGUCUUGCUGUCACUUAUAGAUGGAUCCGCGCUGCAUUAGCUAGUUGGUAAGGUAACGGCUUACCAAGGCAACGAUGCAUAGCCGACCUGAGAGGGUGAUCGGCCACACUGGAACUGAGACACGGUCCAGACUCCUACGGGAGGCAGCAGUAGGGAAUCUUCCGCAAUGGGCGAAAGCCUGACGGAGCAACGC
rnacentral:rRNA from 1 species